CAGGUUGGAGAAAUGGAAAAGGAGGAUAUCGUCUAGCUGGCUCCACUCCUCUGGUCUGAAAUGGGAACACAGAGUUUGCACACAGCUGCAGUAAUGUAACCAUAACGUCCACUCCAGAUUGGUCUAUUGAGAAAAGUCUUUUUUUUUGCUUCCUCCCCGAGGGUUUGACAAGAACCCUGACCUCAGCAUUAUUGAAGGAGUGUGGGAUCAUCUUGACAGAGAACUGAACAGCCAACAUGGAAAGAAGAGCUUGGAAUGUCCUUCAAGAAGCCUGGAGAAUUAUUCCUGACAACUAAUUAAAGAAAUUCCAAGAACGCUCGCCAAAGAGAGUUCAGGCUGUGCUGGAGAAUAAAG